UAAAAGCUAUGGGAGGGUGCACUGAUGUCUGAGUGAUGUUUAACCAUGCCGGUCCAGGUACAGUGCCUGUCUCCGGAAUGAUGCAGGGAUCCCAAAGUGGAGAGAAUUAGACCUAUCGCAUUUGUGAUUAGAGUGGGCAAGAAAAGCAACAAAUGAUCAGGAGAAUUGGGGGCUUACCCAGUGAGCGAAGCUUUGGCAAAAAUGUAAAGCCGUGCAGCACAAUGCAAGAGGAGGCCAAGGACUCCCUGCAAAACCUCAACUUCAAGCCUAAAACAGCCUGAAGGUUGAAAAACUGGACUGCUGGCUCCAGAUGAAGUCCACCCUUUCCCAACUGAUUCUUUCUGAAUAAUGCCCACCUGCACACUCAGAGGAUGGGGUGGGGCCAUGCAAGCUCCCUGCCGGGAACCCAGCCUCUUGAGCUCCUAUGUGGUGGGGCAGGAGCCAGUUCACAGGCUUCCCUCUCACUCUGCUGAGAGUUUUUCUCUUUUCCUUUUUUUUGCCCAAUAAAUUCCAUUU
rnacentral:lncRNA from 1 species